rnacentral:rRNA from 1 species
AAGUCUAAAACGACUCUCGGCAACGGAUAUCUCGGCUCUCGCAUCGAUGAAGAACGUAGCGAAAUGCGAUACUUGGUGUGAAUUGCAGAAUCCCGUGAACCAUCGAGUCUUUGAACGCAAGUUGCGCCCUAAGCCUUCUGGCCGAGGGCACGUCUGCCUGGGUGUCACA